CCCCAAACCUUCAGGAAAUGGUUAAGAUUUUAUAGUUUCCAUCAAACGUAAUAUUGACCCCGAUCAUCAAGCGCCUAAGCGAUAAAGAGUGUUGACAGUGGAAAACACAGCAAACCAACUUUAAAGAACUUGAGCUAUUUGAUUAUAGAUAUCGUCCAAGAAAUUGUAAUGGGUUGAUUGACAGAAGAAAGGGUGUUGGGAAGGGCAUUAUUUUUUAUGUUACUGUGUGAGACAGAAUGGAUGCAGGUAUAACAUUCUGUGAGAUUGCCUUAGAUGACUUGGAGUUCUAUGAGAGAUGUGGAGGGGGGUCAUUUGGCAGUGUGUACCGAGCUAAAUGGAAGUCAGAAAACAUCAUCGUGGCUGUGAAAAAGUUACUUGUAUUAGACAAAGAGGCCCAUGUACUAAGCUUGCUUAGUCACAGAAACAUCAUACAGUUCUAUGGAGCAGUUAUGGAGGAACCCAACUACUGCCUCGUCACAGAGUUUGCUGAGAAGGGAUCACUCUAUGAUUACCUCCAAAAUCCCAAUAAUCCCAUGGACUUUCAGCAUAUUCUGACCUGGGCAAGGGAGAUAGCUCAAGGCAUGAAUUACCUGCAUAACGAGGCACCAACCAAAAUCAUCCACAGAGAUCUCAAGUCAAAGAAUGUUGUCAUUUCUGUCCAGAAUGUUUGUAAGAUAUGUGACUUUGGAGCGUCCAGAUUUAUGGGGAGUACGACCAAAAUGUCUCUAGCUGGAACCUUCCCUUGGAUGGCCCCUGAGGUGAUACAGAGUCAGCCCGUGUCUGAUGCUUGUGACACCUGGUCCUAUGGUGUGGUGUUGUGGGAGCUGCUCACCCAUGAAGUGCCAUACAGGGGGAUAGAGGGCUUCCAAGUGGCCUGGCUGGUGGUAGAGAAAGGGGAGAGAUUAACCAUACCCAGCACUUGUCCGCCAUGUUUUGCCAAGUUAAUGCAGCAGUGCUGGCACACUGACCCCAAACUACGACCUAACUUCAAGGACAUCCUGCUGACCUUACACACAAUGCUUAGUGAUGAUUUGCUGCCUGAUCAGACAAACUCAUUCUUGGAGCACAGGGAAGUUUGGAGAAAAGAAAUUCAGGCUACACUAGAAAGGCUUAAAAGAGCAGAGAGUAAUUUAACGGCCAAAGAACGAGAAUUAAUGGAGCGAGAGAUAAAACUGAUAGAAAGGGAGAAGACUCUUGAGCAGCAGUUUAAAACAGUGCAUUUGGACUCUUAUGAUGUGAAUACGUGGAGUGAGAUUGAUGUGUAUCAAUGGAUAAAGCAGAUGGAAAAUGGCCAUUCCAGUGACUUGGCCCAGUAUGCAGACAUAUUCCUCCAACACAACAUCACAGGCAAGCGCUUACUGAUGCUGACUCUGGACCGCAUUCACGCCAUGGGCAUCACCUCCACUGGCCACAGCAUGGAGCUCAUGGCAAAAAUAGAAUUAUUGAAAGCUCACAAUCACAGGCUGCUGAAUUUUCCACCACUGUCCAAGACUACAGAGACGCCCAAAGACAAAUCGCCCGUGCAUCGACAGAUCACUGUCACUCUCAUCUUUGGACAUCACUUGAGGCAGGGCAAGGGUCCAGAGGAUCACAAAUGGAAGAUGUACAUGGAGCUGGACACCGACGACGAUGAGGAGGAUGUUCAACCUUUGACCUUCAUCAAGGACGUGGAGUUUGAGAGCGCGCUCUUCGGAACCUUCCUUAUCACUCAUCCCCCAUUUAUUAUGGAGAAGUGGUGCACCGGCAUUGUAGCAGAUAUGAAAAUUGAUUGUACAGUACGCUUUGAAUCGUCAGUGAGGAAGCCGAAAAGCAUCAAGUACACGCACAACCUUGACCCCAAUGUCACGACCUCGGGGCAGAAGGUCGUGACACUGGUCCUUCAGCAGAUCAGUCAAGGACAGGCGGACACAUCUCCCGCGGUCAUCCACGGUCCUCUAACCCUGACCACUCCUCCUCGUCCCCCACAACAAACCUUUGCCUCACGGCUACAGGGUGACUGGCUGAAGAGGGAGUUUCAAAAUACCCCGGUGCCAAACGUACCGGCAGCGAAAGCUCCGGAUAUUUGGUCCGGUGUGGUGUCUGGCAGGAAGCCCUCCCUCCCGUCCUCCCCCGUCUCAUUCAGCGUGAAGCCGAUCCCCGGGACCCAGCAGGUCCUCUACUCCUCCGCCACCAAACCUUUCUCUCACUCAAUGACCUCCCCCGCUAAUCUGGUCAGCGGCGGCGGCGGCGGCGGAUCUCUCCACCCGUCUCCGGUCCGUAUGUCAUCCACAGGAUCAUCACAAACUAGCCCCGGGCAGCUCUCCUCGGGGUACAACUCGACGUCCGAAUCCCCGCACCCUAACCGGUCCCCGUGGCGAUUCAGCCCCCGGGGUUACAGAGGAGGAAGUGGGGUGGCGGAGUCACAGUCCAACUUGUCCGAUCUGACGGAAGCCAGGGUGACUUUUAACCUCGAGGGCUCGGAGUCUUCUAACAGUACGGAAGCCAAUAGCGCCGAGAGCGGAUUCAGCGAACAUAAAGUGGAGAAAACGUACGCGUCCGUGUGUAGCAGCUGUCAGGGCGAAAUGAAACCACAGCAGCAGUCGCCGCUGAACAACGCGACGAGAUCACGUCACCAUAGCGACGGGGGAAUUCCGUCUCGGGCCGCCGCUCACAGGCACGGGCGUGAUAUAGAAAGCGAGGGGGGGAGAGAAGCGAUUCCGCCGGCAGCGGUGGACAGUUUAGGGGUCAGAAUAGGCGCGGGAAUUACGAACGGCGACCAUUUUCAACGGGAAGCAGGGGUACAGGAAGGGGUCGACCGUACAGGGGUGGGGCUCACGACACCAGGAGACAGGGUGGAGAGGAUUUUCAGAGAAGUUUCAGUGACCCCAGGGCAAGGACAGAAAGUCUGGGUGUUCCCGAACACGAUCGCAAUGUUAAUAGUGACGGUGGUGGGCGGGGCUAUAGGAGGGGAGGGUGGGGUAGAGAGGCCACAGACGGGGAUGGUGCGCGGGGGAGGACCAAUAGAGGGGGAGGGGGGUUCACACGGCGUGGAUCAAUACCCAGGGGAAAAUUCGAUAGAUGAUAAAUAUUUGUUUGAUAGCCACGGACGCCCGAGUGAUAACGGAUAACAGUAUCAUCAUGUAAACACUAAAUCAAUGUCAGGGGAUGUGAAGAAAAUCACAGAGACUGUUCGCCCUCCCUAUCUAGUCGCUUAUAUCUUCUACACUCUCUUCAAUGUUUAAUUUUUUUCCUGUGAAGUCAUUGGAUGCUACAAACUUAUAUAAAAUAAUGUACAUGUAUUAAAUAAAACGUUCAUAAGUUUUAUUUACCUUGAAUAGACUAUGUAUUAAUAGAUUAAAG
rnacentral:misc_RNA from 1 species